AUUUAUAUAGUUUAAAAAAAACAUUAUAUCUUCAGUAUAAAAUUAAAAUAAUAAUUUAUAAAUC
rnacentral:tRNA from 1 species